rnacentral:rRNA from 1 species
UCCUACGGGAGGCAGCAGUGAGGAAUAUUGGUCAAUGGGCGAGAGCCUGAACCAGCCAAGUAGCGUGCAGGAUGACGGCCCUAUGGGUUAGUAAACUGCUUUUAUAAGGGAAUAAAAGUGAGUCUCGUGAGACUUUUUGCAUGUACCUUAUGAAUAAGGACCGGCUAAUUCCGUGC